AACGAACGCUGGCGGCAGGCCUAACACAUGCAAGUCGAGCGAAGCCUUCGGGCUUAGCGGCGGACGGGUGAGUAACGCGUGGGAACGUGCCCUUUGGUACGGAAUAGCCCCGGGAAACUGGGAGUAAUACCGUAUGUGGUCGAAAGACGAAAGAUUUAUCGCCAAAGGAUCGGCCCGCGUUGGAUUAGGUAGGUGGUGGGGUAAUGGCCUACCAAGCCGACGAUCCAUAGCUGGUUUGAGAGGAUGAUCAGCCACACUGGGACUGAGACACGGCCCAGACUCCUACGGGAGGCAGCAGUGGGGAAUCUUAGACAAUGGGGGAAACCCUGAUCUAGCCAUGCCGCGUGAUCGAUGAAGGCCUUAGGGUUGUAAAGAUCUUUCAGUGGGGAAGAUAAUGACUGUACCCACAGAAGAAGCCCCGGCUAACUCCGUGCCAGCCGCCGCCGUAAAAC
rnacentral:rRNA from 1 species